rnacentral:snRNA from 1 species
ACUCAAAUCUUGCAGGGGAAAUACCAUGGUCAUGAAAGUGGUUUUUCUAAGAUAAGAUUAAUUCAUUGUACUUUGGGUGUGUUGAUCCCUAUGAUUUCCCCAAGUUUGGGGAACUUGAUUGCAUAAUUUGUGUUAAUAGGAGAUUGCAUUUGUGACUUCAG